rnacentral:tRNA from 1 species
AUUCUUGUAGCUCAGUUGGAUGGAGCAUCCAUUUAGUAAGUGAGAUAUCUUGAGUUCAACUCUCUACAAGAGCA